rnacentral:rRNA from 1 species
AACUGCGAAUGGCUCAUUAAAUCAGUUAUCGUUUAUUUGAUAGUACCUUACUACUUGGAUACCCGUGGUAAUUCUAGAGCUAAUACAUGCAAAAAACCCCGACUCCUGGAGGGGUGUAUUUAUUAGAUAAAAAACCAAUGCCCUUCGGGGCUCCUUGGUGAUUCAUAAUAACUUAACGGAUCGCAUGGCCUUGCGCCGGCGACGGUUCAUUCAAAUUUCUGCCCUAUCAACUUUCGAUGGUAAGGUAUUGGCUUACCAUGGUUUCAACGGGUAACGGAUUUUUAGGGAAAGAUCCCGGAGAGGCAGCCUGAGAAACGGCUACCACAUCCAAGGAAGGCAGCAGGCGCGCAAAUUACCCAAUCCUGAUACAGGGAGGUAGUGACAAUAAAUACUGAUACAGGGCUCUUUUGGGUCUUGUAAUCGGAAUGAGUACAAUUUAAAUACCUUAACGAGGAACAAUUGGAGGGCAAGUCUGGUGCCAGCAGCCGCGGUAAUUCCAGCUCCAAUAGCGUAUAUUAAAGUUGUUGCAGUUAAAAAGCUCGUAGUUGAACCUUGGGCCUGGCUGACCGGUCCGCCUCACCGCGUGUACUGGUUCGGCUGGGCCUUUCCUUCUGGAGAACCGCAUGCCCUUCACUGGGUGUGUCGGGGAACCAGGACUUUUACUUUGAGAAAAUUAGAGUGUUCAAAGCAGGCCUUUGCUCGAAUACGUUAGCAUGGAAUAAUAGAAUAGGACGUGCGGUCCUAUUUUGUUGGUUUCUAGAACCGCCGUAAUGAUUAAUAGGGAUAGUCGGGGGCGUCAGUAUUCAAUUGUCAGAGGUGAAAUUCUUGGAUCUAUUGAAGACUAACUACUGCGAAAGCAUUCGCCAAGGAUGUUUUCAUUAAUCAGUGAACGAAAGUUAGGGGAUCGAAGACGAUCAGAUACCGUCGUAGUCUUAACCGUAAACUAUGCCGACUAGGGAUCGGGCGAUGUUUCUUUCUUGACUCGCUCGGCACCUUACGAGAAAUCAUAA